UCCCGGUUGGCCCGGGCAGUCUCGCCUGAAAAAUACAACAGACGACAAGGGUUGCGCUCGUUGCGGGACUUAACCCAACAUCUCACGACACGAGCUGACGACGGCCAUGCAGCACCUGUCACCAGGCUCCCGAAGGCACCCCUCUGUUUCCAGAGGGUUCCUGGGAUGUCAAGCCUCGGUAAGGUUCUUCGCGUAGCUUCGAAUUAAACCACAUAAUCCACCGCUUGUGCGGGUCCCCGUCAAUUCCUUUGAGUUUUAAUCUUGCGAUCGUACUCCCCAGGCGGCAUACUUAACGCGUUAGCUUCUCAGCACAGGGGGUCGAUACCCCAUACUAAUAGUAUGCAUCGUUUACGGCGUGGACUAC
rnacentral:misc_RNA from 1 species